GAUCCUGGCUCAGGAUGAACGCUAGCGGCAGGCUUAACACAUGCAAGUCGAGGGGUAUAUUUCUUCGGAGAUAGAGACCGGCGCACGGGUGCGUAACGCGUAUGCAAUCUGCCUUUCACAGAGGGAUAGCCCAGAGAAAUUUGGAUUAAUACCUCAUAGUAUUAUAGGAUGGCAUCAUUUUAUAAUUAAAGUCACAACGGUGAAAGAUGAGCAUGCGUCCCAUUAGCUAGUUGGUAAGGUAACGGCUUACCAAGGCAACGAUGGGUAGGGGUCCUGAGAGGGAGAUCCCCCACACUGGUACUGAGACACGGACCAGACUCCUACGGGAGGCAGCAGUGAGGAAUAUUGGACAAUGGGCGCAAGCCUGAUCCAGCCAUGCCGCGUGCAGGAUGACGGUCCUAUGGAUUGUAAACUGCUUUUGUACGAGAAGAAACACUGAUUCGUGAAUCAGCUUGACGGUAUCGUAAGAAUAA
rnacentral:rRNA from 1 species